AACCUCCGCAAUGUGAGAAAUCGCGACGGGGGGAUCCCAAGUGCCAUUCUUAACGGGAUGGCUUUUCAUUAGUGUAAAGAGCUUUUGGAAUAAGGGCUGGGCAAGACCGGUGCCAGCCGCCGCGGUAACACCGGCAGCUCUAGUGGUAGCAGUUUUUAUUGGGCCUAAAGCGUCCGUAGCCGGUUUAAUAAGUCUCUGGUGAAAUCCUGUAGCUUAACUGUGGGAAUUGCUAGAGAUACUAUUAGACUUGAGACCGGGAGAGGUUAGAGGUACUCCCAGGGUAGAGGUGAAAUUCUGUAAUCCUGGGAGGACCGCCUGUUGCGAAGGCGUCUAACUGGAACGGUUCUGACGGUGAGGGACGAAAGUUAGGGGCGCGAACCGGAUUAGAUACCCGGGUAGUCCUAACCGUAAACGAUGCGGACUUGGUGUUGGGGUGGCUUUGAGCUGCUCCAGUGCCGAAGGGAAGCUGUUAAGUCCGCCGCCUGGGAAGUACGGUCGCAAGACUGAAACUUAAAGGUAUA
rnacentral:rRNA from 1 species